rnacentral:rRNA from 1 species
GACGGACCCACACAAACGUUAUUCGGAAUUACUGGGCUUAAAGGGUGCGUAGGCUGUGCAGUAAGUUGGGUGCGAAAUCCCUCGGCUUAACCGAGGAAGUGCGCCCAAAACUACUGUGCUGGAGGGAGAUAGAGGUGAGCGGAACUUAGGGUGGAGCGGUGAAAUGCGUUGAUAUCCUAAGGAACGCCGGUGGCGAAAGCGGCUCACUGGGUCUCUUCUGACGCUGAUGCACGAAAGCUAGGGUAGCGAACGGGAUUAG